UCGAACACAUGCGUGAACAUAUCUGAAGUCUUUUUUGUUGUUGGGACAUAAGAAAACAGCAGGAUGAAGUGAGGUCCUGAGGCAGACCCCUUCUCCAGUUUCCCUGCUGCCUGUUUUGAGGGGUCCUUGCUAGGGAGGAGGGGACCAUCAAUGUGCUAUUUU
rnacentral:lncRNA from 1 species